rnacentral:sRNA from 1 species
UUUCAAAUUUGGAAAU